GGGGCUGUAGCUCAGUGUUAGAGCACUUGCUUGGCACGUUUGAGGCACUGGGUUCGAACCCCAGCACCACA
rnacentral:tRNA from 1 species